rnacentral:rRNA from 1 species
CCCUUAGAUGUUCUGGGCCGCACGCGCGCUACACUGACUGCCCCAACAAGUUACCUGGGCUGACAAGCAUCCGGGAAAUCUUGCAAAGGCAGUCGUGAUGGGGAUAGAUUCUUGUAAUUUUUGAUCUUCAACGAGGAAUUCCUAGUAAACGCAAGUCAUCAGCUUGCAUUGAUUACGUCCCUGCCCUUUGUACACACCGCCCGUCGCAUCUACCGAUUGAAUGGAGAGGCAAAAUCUUCGGACCGUGACGCUUGGGAGUCAAAUCUCGGGCUGUCGUGGGAAGUGGAUUAAACCUUUCUAUUUAGAGGAAGGUAAAGUCGUAACA